AAACAAGAAGCAAAAGUUGCAUUUAGUUUCGACCUAAAAAUUUGAUACAUAAUUAUCCUUGUUUA
rnacentral:tRNA from 1 species